AUGAACUUGAAAGAACUGUACUUUUGCAUCCAUUGGAAAAGGUGUCCAAGACAAGAGAUGGAUCCAAAUAAUAUUGCUACGAGACAUGGGUGCCCUGAAGGAGUGAGGGAUGUGACUCCCUUGGCAAGGAUCCUUCAGACGAAAGGGAGUAUGGUGGACUUUCUCCACGUGGAAGCAGGCUCAGAGAUGGACUGUGAAGCCUCCAAGAAGGAUCCCAGGUAUGAAGAAUGAAAUAGUGAGUGGCAAAGUGCUUUGGGAGCUGCGAAGAGUGGUGUCAACAUGAGGACAAGGACAGUCAUGGUGGUUCCACUUUACCCCCUUAGAGCUCAGCCUCCUCUGACAAGACAGGUUUGUAUCUCCAACCCCUUACCCCAACAGAACAUAAUUUCCAGGAAAGCAAGCUCUUUAUUUUGCUGCUGUAUCCUUAGAUAUCCAAGGGGUCUUGGUUUAACAAAUAGAAGAGUGAAUUAAUAGUUCAUAGAAGCUGCCAAGUUUUUUGUAUGCGUUUGCUUAUUAUUGAAUAA
rnacentral:lncRNA from 1 species